rnacentral:rRNA from 1 species
GACGAACGCUGGCGGCGUGCCUAAUACAUGCAAGUAGAACGCACAGUUUAUACCGUAGCUUGCUACACCAUAGACUGUGAGUUGCGAACGGGUGAGUAACGCGUAGGUAACCUGCCUGGUAGCGGGGGAUAACUAUUGGAAACGAUAGCUAAUACCGCAUAAUAUUAAUUAUUGCAUGAUAAUUAAUUGAAAGGUGCAAUUGCACCACUACCAGAUGGACCUGCGUUGUAUUAGCUAGUAGGUGAGGUAACGGCUCACCUAGGCGACGAUACAUAGCCGACCUGAGAGGGUGAUCGGCCACACUGGGACUGAGACACGGCCCAGACUCCUACGGGAGGCAGCAGUAGGGAAUCUUCGGCAAUGGACGAAAGUCUGACCGAGCAACGCCGCGUGAGGGAAGAAGGGUUUCGGAUCGUAAUGCUCUGUUGUAAGAGAAGAACGGGUGUGAGAGUGGAAAGUUCACACUGUGACGGUAUCUUACCAGAAAGGGACGGCUAACUACGUG